rnacentral:misc_RNA from 1 species
CAAAUUUCAAUUUCACUAAAUUUGAGUUUGGAAGAAGAAAAACUAGCUAUAACGUAAGGGGACAUGAAUACAACCAGAGAGGAAAGGGGAUGUUAAAAGCAGUGAGAAGACUUAGGCUAACAUGCAUUGCCUACAACCGAGCAGUUGGUGAAAAUAGCCAUGCUAACCUCUUAAGUUAUAACUAUUAAAGUGUUGAUUUGGAGUUAGAGUUUUCUGGUUCUUCACUUUUGCUCAUACGGGGAUUGUGGGCAACAGAAGAGUGAUUGCAAUCCUGGUUAUUGCAGGAUGAUUUUGACAAUGGGACCAACUUAAUGACCUUCUAUUUCCUCAGUUUUUUUUUUCAUUAAUUCUCUAUUUGUCUAAUCACCGCUCCUCUUUUAACAAAAAAUCUUAAAAAUUAGGUCCUAAACUCACCCUGAUUUACCUGAACUCAUUUAGACUUGUGCUCUUCCCCAUGCUUAGUCUACUACUUUUUGGGUGAUAGGUGGCUGAGGAAGACCAUUGCCCCACGAUAUUUUCAUCUAGGAUACUCGACAAUCUUUCCCGUUGGCUAAAGGAAACUGGGUUCCAAGCGUACCAAUUGCUGCACUAAGCCAAUUCGCCAACAUCAUAAAAUCCAUAGAAGGUCUCCAUUCUACUAUAAUCAUGUGCUCAAUAACAUUACAAGCUAUCUUCGUCUAUCAAUUAACAACAUAUCUAUAUCAGAUUUUUCUUUUUCCACUUUCUGUCCCUUCCCCUUUAUGGGAUAACUAACGAGGGAGGACCAGUAGUGGUAUAAUACAGGGAUCAACAACAAUUAUUGGUCCCCUAUCCUACUAGUAACUACUAGGAACAGCUAAAAAAGAGGUACAGCGUAAGCCAAAAAUAACGUAGCCGCCAUUUCCAACGUCUUCUUUGUUGAACUUGAACCGGCUCAAGGAAGCAAAUUGAUCCAGUUUGCCAUUUUGUGUACUCCAGCUCUUUGCACACUAUUUCAAUAUUAUGCUUUCCCUUCAGUGUCAUGUUUUAUCUGAAGGGCAGCUCUUACAACAUUUCCUCUUGUGAUUAGUCCAACCAGCUUGCCCUCAGAAUCAACAACUGGAAGUCUACGAUAUUUGGUUUCCAGCAACAAUCUUGCAGCAUCCUCAAGAUUAGUGGUUUCAUGGACAACAACUGGGGCUGGCGUCAUUAAGUCACCAACAACCUUCCCAUUGGUUUUGCUUAGUAACUUUUGUACCUCGUUAAAAGUCUGAAAUUAUCAUUAAUGGAUCAAGUCAGUAUAUCUAAGCCACUUGGAAGUUAGAAGUCCAAACAAACAAAACCAUGCUCACUCUCUGAAUUAGUGGGAAUAAGCUUGUUUCAUAAAUUUCAACAUAAAGGAUAAGGUAAUGAAACACUUGUUUUUACCACAUUUCUUUGUGUUAACAGAAUGUACGGGAUCAGGGCCUUUUCCACUGCAACACAUCUUCUCUAUAUGAAUUUUCAUUAAAACAAUCCAGAAACUUCUAGAUUUUACAGAAAAGCAAAGACAAGUGCUUGCAAGAGGGGAACUGUUUGGUCUCUUACUCCACAAGAGAUCAUAGUUCAUUUAGAGGUCUUGAUUGAAAUAUAUUGAUUUGUAAUGCCAAGGUCAAAUUAGCAUCCAAGAAGACAAUGGGGAAGAAGAAAACAGGAUAACCUGAGGCCAUUUCUUGCAGCAGAGAAAGUAAGUGUUAAGGUAGACUUACAAAUCAAAUGUCAAAAGAUAUUAACUGCCAUAAAAUAAAUGAUUAUGCUGUGUCCAUGUGUAAUUUGUAUGCAUAACUAUUUAACAGAUAGUUUUGACAUACUUUCCAAGUGCUGUCAACCUCUGGAAACAUGCUAUUCUCAGUUCUUCCGCCACCUGAUAUCGAGUCCAAUGCUAACAAGUCAUAAUCUGACACAAGACCAACCAGUUUCCAGUCAUCAUCAAUCACAGGAAAACCCGUAAUUCUGUGUUCAACAAGAGUUUGCAAGGCUUCAUCCACGGUUGUUGUUGGUUUUACCACACGCAAAUCCUCUUUCCUUGUCAUAAAAUCACCAACUGUAUAAACUCCACUUCUGGGCGGUAUGGAAUUGGCCAUCAGCGUGCCACUUUCCGCGAUAGUGGAGGACCAACGAGGCCGCGAAAUGACAACAAGGGGAAUGAAUCUCUGGCCGGCCCGGGAAAAGAGAAGACAGGGGAGCUGGUAAGGGAAGGCAGCAGUGGUAGUGAUAGGAGGAGCAGCGGCGCUUAGGCGAGGGAGAGGGAGGUGAAGAACGGAGUCCAUGGUGGUUGUAGUGGGAGAAAGGCGAGAAUAGAGAAUGGU